AAGGCUUUGUAACGUCGGGAAUUUCAGGCUGGGAAUGCUCGGGUUGAGCGUGAGGACCCGAAGGUCUCGCCGUUCCCAAAUCACGGUGUGUGACCGUCCGGAUUCGUCCUGAGAUCAGGGAGAGCCGCAGUCAGAAAGAAAACCCCGAGAUAUUGGAUCCCGCUGCACCCUGGAGCCCCUUCCAUCGGCACCCACUUCCCACACAAUGAAGAGAAACCAAACCGUGCGAAAUCCUCGGGGAGAAAAAGAAAAAAAUCCUGACAAAAAUCCCUUCGGUGCCGGAGAACCCAAUUAAUAAGAAGAAAAAGGAGGGCAGGGAAUCGAUCACACCUAUCUCAGUAAUUCUAUUUCUCUGCAGGGCGAACUGGAAACGCGGACGGUGUGCAGAAGGGAGACGAUCCCACAGCUCAGCUAGGGAACACGUAAUGUUCCCCAUACAGCCGACCCCAAUUUGGGGCGAUCUGAACCGUCUCAGCUCCAACCCAGGGCUCUGCACCGAACCCGGCAUCGUGAGCUGAGAUGGGGAGGGCGGGGGGGGGGGGGCUCUCUUCACUUACAGAAAUAUCAUUUAAUUAAUCCACAGAUGAGGCAAGGCUUCUAAAUUAACCGAAGAAGACUUGAAGUCGCAAUAGGAGCUUUGGGUGAAGCGCUUAAGGCCAAACAUCGAGAAAGAAUUCAGUCCCCGAUUCGUUUCCCGCUGGAUGGUGCGGAUUAAAGGGGUUUCAGCCCAACGCAGAAACAAAGAAACGACGCUAAUCGUGAAGGGUCGGAACCGAGAAUGGACGAAACUCCCUACAGACGGUGAGGAGAAGUGGAGGAGCCUCCACAGCAGAACGGACACCUCAAAAUCAUCAAUUGCGGUGGGUGCGAAGCUACAUCAUCCUUGAGCCGGCUGAGGACAUUGGUGAUGAAGCUGCGGGCCCGGAGGGGUGCGGGAUCCCCAGUGCCGGUUGCUGCCGACCCUUUUGCACCCCCAAAAAGAGGUGCGAGGGGGGGGAAAAUAUCCCCUCAUCCCCUUCCUUUAGCGCUGAGGAGUCGAGGGUGGGUGGCGGAGAGGGGAGAGCUGGGUGCUGCCGGGUGUCUGGUGGGCUCCGGCUUUGCGAAAACGGUAUUUUGGGAUAAGGUGGGGGGAGAGGGGGGCAAGUCUCUGCCGAUUGACUUAUCUGUUAGAAAAUGCGUGUGCAGGCGGCUUCCGGCGGGGCUCACCAAUCCGGGGCGGACGAAGCUGCUAAGACCAUCCCCUGGUGUCAAUUUUAAUGGGAAACUUCAUCGCUUUGAGGGGGGGGGGGGGAGAGGGGAGCCGCGUAUUUUUUAAUACGAAGACGCGAGGCUGCGGUUCACGCCGACUUUCCCGUCGUCCCUCCCCGCUCCGACGCGUUUACUCACACCGCUAUUCCCAGCCUUCCCCAUUUUUGGUAUGGGGGCUAUUUUGAGAAAACCCUUUCGGAGGUGAAACAAAACCCCGUGCUUAUAUCGAGGCACGAAAACCCAUCCCCCCUCCAAAAAAAAACCACCCCAAAGCCGAGCCCGACUGCGUGCGUUCAACCCGAAGCUUUUGCCGUAGAGAAGGGCUCAGCUCUUUCCCCGCAGCCCCAUGGGACAAAUCCUCAAGUCCCUGCAGUCCAUUUGCCCUCGGGCUGUACAAAUCUACGUGCAAGGGAGGAAAACGUUGUAUGUUCCAUGCAAUAAAGGUUGCGGUGCUUUUGGGAAUGGAAAAACCACUUGUCGCGUCGGGAAACACAAGAAGAAGCCGGGAGGUGACACGCAGGUCCCCACUGUGGGGUUUGCCCUGGGGUUUGCCCAGCUCAGGAAGCCGCACCCAGGCUGUUUCGAAUAGGAUUUAUACAUUGGAUUUGAUGCCUGGCCUCGCACUGCAAUUUAACAAUCAGCGGGGAUUCAUUUUGUUUCUGUCUUUAAGGGAAAAAAAAAAAAAGCUCUUUGUGGCUCUGCAGGGCUGCAAUUGCCAAGGGAAAAACAAACAAACAACGCAACAACGACGCAGCCAAACAUAAAAACCCCAAAUCACUACAGCAGCUCAGAAGUGGUUGGAGACACCGCUUCCAAAAUGGCUCGAGCUGAGAGCGAGAAGAAAAAAGGGAAAAUUGGUUCUUCGUUCGAACCUUUUGAAUCCAACCUCUUCGUUUGUAACAGUUCUCCUUCUGGAAUUAAGCCUUGAGGAAAGGAGUGAUGGAAACCUGUUAAAGCUCAGGAUGGUUUGCAGCCGCAGCUGGUUCUGUAUUCCCGACGCAGAAAAUAAAAAGGAGCGGAUUUUAGUAGCUACUAACGGGCAAUUAUUUCAGAAUAGGUAAUAGCAGGGAUUUUAAAGAUUUGGGAAAUUAGAAGGAUUAACCGAAAGUUCAUACAUAUGGAGAGGAAGAGAGAGGAGCUCUUCUUUUCGAAGCUCGCCGAGCCCCGAAGGGGUCUUUGCUCCCUAUUCUGCGCU